GAAAUGCGAUAAGUAAUGUGAAUUGCAGAAUUCAGUGAAUCAUCGAAUCUUUGAACGCACAUUGCGCCCGCCAGUAUUCUGGCGGGCAUGCCUGUUCGAGCGUCAUUACAACCCUCAGGCCCCCGGGCCUGGCGUUGGGGAUCGGCGGAAGCCCCCUGCGGGCACAACGCCGUCCCCCAAAUACAGUGGCGGUCCCGCCGCAGCUUCCAUUGCGUAGUAGCUAACACCUCGCAACUGGAGAGCGGCGCGGCCACGCCGUAAAACACCCCACUUCUGAAUGUUGACCUCGAAUCAGGUAGGAAUACCCGCUGAACUUAAGC
rnacentral:misc_RNA from 1 species